UACGUAGGGGGCGAGCGUUAUCCGGAUCCACUGGGUGUAAAGGGAGCGUAGACGGCCAAGCAAGCCAGGGGUGAAAGCCCGGGGCCCAACCCCGGGACUGCCCUUGGAACUGCAUGGCUGGAGUGCGGGAGGGGCAGGCGGAAUUCCUGGUGUAGCGGUGAAAUGCGUAGAUAUCAGGAGGAACACCGGCGGCGAAGGCGGCCUGCUGGAUCGCGACUGACGUUGAGGCUCGAAAGCGUGGGGAGCGAACAGG
rnacentral:rRNA from 1 species